GACGAACGCUGGCGGCGUGCUUAACACAUGCAAGUCGAACGGAAAGGCCCUGCUUGCAGGGUGCUCGAGUGGCGAACGGGUGAGUAACACGUGGGUGAUCUGCCCCUUACUUUGGGAUAAGCCUGGGAAACUGGGUCUAAUACUGGAUAGGACCAUGCUGUAGGUGGUGUGGUGUAAAGAUUAGUUUCGGUAAGGGAUGAGCUCGCGGCCUAUCAGCUUGUUGGUGGGGUAAUGGCCUACCAAGGCGUCGACGGGUAGCCGGCCUGAGAGGGUGGACGGCCACAUUGGGACUGGGGUAAGGGCCAGACUCCUACGGGAGGCAGGAGUGGGGGAUAUUGCCAAAUGGGGGCAAGCCUGGUGCAGGGACGCCGCGUGGGGGAUGACGGCCUUCGGGUUGUAAACCCCUUUCAGCCAUGACGAAGGCUUCGUGUGACGGUAGUGGGAGAAGAAGCACCGGCUAACUACGUG
rnacentral:rRNA from 1 species